UACGUAGGGUGCAAGCGUUAAUCGGAAUUACUGGGCGUAAAGCGUGCGCAGGCGGUUUCGCAAGUCAGAUGUGAAAGCCCCGGGCUCAACCUGGGAAUUGCAUUUGAAACUACGAGGCUAGAGUGUGUCAGAGGGGGGUAGAAUUCCACGUGUAGCAGUGAAAUGCGUAGAGAUGUGGAGGAAUACCGAUGGCGAAGGCAGCCCCCUGGGAUAACACUGACGCUCAUGCACGAAAGCGUGGGGAGCAAACAGG
rnacentral:rRNA from 1 species